rnacentral:rRNA from 1 species
AGUUUGAUCCUGGCUCAGAUUGAACGCUGGCGGCAUGCCUUACACAUGCAAGUCGAACGGCAGCACGGAGCUUGCUCUGGUGGCGAGUGGCGAACGGGUGAGUAAUAUAUCGGAACGUACCCUAGAGUGGGGGAUAACGUAGCGAAAGUUACGCUAAUACCGCAUACGAUCUAAGGAUGAAAGUGGGGGAUCGCAAGACCUCAUGCUCGUGGAGCGGCCGAUAUCUGAUUAGCUAGUUGGUAGGGUAAAAGCCUACCAAGGCAUCGAUCAGUAGCUGGUCUGAGAGGACGACCAGCCACACUGGAACUGAGACACGGUCCAGACUCCUACGGGAGGCAGCAGUGGGGAAUUUUGGACAAUGGGCGAAAGCCUGAUCCAGCAAUGCCGCGUGAGUGAAGAAGGCCUUCGGGUUGUAAAGCUCUUUUGUCAGGGAAGAAACGGUGAAAGCUAAUAUCUUUUGCUAAUGACGGUACCUGAAGAAUAAGCACCGGCUAACUACGUGCCAGCAGCCGCGGUAAUACGUAGGGUGCAAGCGUUAAUCGGAAUUACUGGCGUAAAGCGUGCGCAGGCGGUUUUGUAAGUCUGAUGUGAAAUCCCCGGGCUCAACCUGGGAAUUGCAUUGGAGACUGCAAGGCUAGAAUCUGGCAG